AACCCAUGGUGAGGACAUUUUCUGAGAAGAUCCUUGUACCUCUCCCAUGCUUCAUAUAAUGAUUCAGAAUCCAACUGUAUGAACUGGGUGAUGUCAUUCCUCAUCUU
rfam:Morus notabilis contig25086, whole genome shotgun sequence.